AAUACUGGCACUUUUAAAAAGGGUAUAUAUGUGUGUAGUGUGUGCUUGUAUAAUUUUUCAAAGUAAUUUUCAAAGCAUAUAGUCACAUAUAAAGCUAUGUAUCUUAUAAAUACCUUAUAAAUAGACGAAUAUAUUUAAUAAGAAUAUUCAAAAUAUUUGAAUAAAAUUUAAUUAUUUUCUUAAUAAAAUGGAAGCUAUGAUUUAAAUUAAUGUGAACUAUAUUCCAUACAUAUAAGAAAAAUUGUCAAGUAGCAAUAAUAAAAGUGAAAAAUUGAGGUAUAAAAUAAUUUGUACAUUGAUCGACUCUUUUUGCUUACUGAAUCUCUCUGCCUUUCUUCUAAAAUAGGAGCCUAUAAGAAAGGAGAGCAUGUACAUACAUGUCAUAGGCAUUUGUAUUUGAGUUACCCUUUUUUCCUAAUACAUUAUUAUUCCUAUUACCAUUUAUGAACUUCUGUAGUGCUGAAGAGGUAUACGGAGAAAAUAUUUAAUGUUAUAUCUGUAAAAAAUAGCAGAAUUCUAUAUGAAAUUAUAGUUAGAGAUCAGUAUCUUUGGCAAUUAAAAUGUGAUUUUUUAGGGCCUAAAAUGUCAAUAAUAGGGCUGGGGUUGUAGUUCAGUGGUAGAACACUUGCCUAGCAUAUGUGAGGCACUGGGUUCAAGCCUCAGCACCACAUAAAAAUAAAUAAAUAAAAUAAAAUCAUUGUGUCCAUCUAUAAAGAAAAAUGUUUACAAAAAAAGUCAAUAAGACUUUUUCUAAUAGAAUUUUGAGCAUACAAACCACCUCUUGUAUGUAGCACUAGAAAGGGAAUUUUAGUGAAGUGAAAUGAAUUUAAUUUCAGAUAUUGAAAAUCCCUUAUUACAUGUGAGAUUAUUUCAUAUCAUUAAAACUUUGUUCUGUAAGAAAAAAAAGAUCUAGAUCCCAACAUCCUUCUCUUUAAGAGGCAAAGGGGUCACACUGACCCCAGGGGGAAGAAAAUGUGUCUUUAAUAUACUACUUGUAUUCCCUAUGAAUGAUAUUUGCACAGACCACACAAUAUAUACAGAGAAAACUUAAUAUGUUUAUGGAACAGAAUUAAAAUAUUAUCAUUUAUAACUUGUCAUAUGUGAAAUGGCAUGCAUCAAUACAUAAGUGGAUGGAAAAGUUGGGAAAUCCUGGAAGGAGUAGUAAAGCUCAUUUUACACAGUGAGUAAUUAAAGGAUAGUAUCAAAAGUUGACAGGAAAAGAACUAGAGAUAUAAAUGUAUUGCUUAAAACUAUUAGUUGACUAAUAGAAAAAUUAAAAUAAUAUAAAUAUCCAAAAAAUAAUAUAAAUAUCCAAAAAAAUAGGAAGUGAGGACAAGACUGGAUGUAGUAUAAAUGGACUAAAUACUUGUCUUUCUUGGGGCAGUCAAGAAACAAUAAUCUGAAGCUGAUACAUCAUGAAAUAGCCACAUGGCAGACAGAAUAAUGGCUCUCAAACAUGAUUAAAUCCUAAUAUCCAGAAUUCACAAGUACAUUAGCUUACAUUGCAAAAGAUGCUUUGAUGAUGUGUUUUAAGGACGCUGAGAAGUGGAAAUUGUCUUGGAUUAUCUCGGCGAUUCCAUUCUAAUUAUUUGAGUGGUUAAAAGUACUGAACCUUUUCUGACUGUAUCAGAGGGGAAUGUGACAACAGAGGAAGGGUCAGAAAGAUUUGCUGUGUUGCAGGCUUUGAAGACAGAAGGAGGCCACCAGCCAAGGAAUGCAGUUGGCCUCUAGAAACUGAAAAAGGCAAUGAAAGGGACUCUUCCCCAGAGUUUUCAGAAAGGAAAACAGUUCCUGCCAACACCUUGGUAUAAGGAAUAAUAAUAAAGAGAGACACAGAGACAAGGUGCAGAGGCAGGGAAGGUGACAGAGUGGCUCUUUGUCCAAGUGGCCACGUUUUUUUAUACCAAAUAGGUUAUAUUAAGCUAUUAGCAUCGUAACCACAUUAUUGUUUAGAGUAUCAGUAAGGUUGCUUAUUCUGGAGUUAAGAGUUCACAGUUACAAAUGCAAUAUUAGGAUCUUUGUGCAGUUCUCAAGAAAGUCCAUUGUCUGAAGUUACUGUUAGGUGGGCAGCUCCAGGAGCUUGGUGAAACAUUGUAGUUAUCAAGGAAACAAGUUCCUUUAUUCACAGGAGUUAUGUGCCUAAGAUUAAGGUCUAGCAUGGGGGGCAUUACCAUAGCCACCUGGCAUCCUAUGCCUUUGCACAGAAACUUACCCAGGCACCAAGCAUGCCACAGCCAUGAAGUCAUCAGGGACUCCAAUCCCAAACAUAAAACCCCUAUACCUUGGAUCUUACUUAAGUGAUAUUGUGUUGAAUUUCUACCCUACAGGGAUGUAAUGUAAUAAUUUUUCUGUUCUUUAAGCCACUAUGUUUGGGGCAGCAUGUUAUAGCAGCGAUAGAAACCCAACAGAAACUCUAUCAACAUUACAUUUAGAAUAAGGCUAUCUAGAUAAAAGCUCGAACCAGCAUUGGCUAAAAUCAGUUGCAGAACUGUUGAUGGGAAGGCGCUGAGGUGAACAACUUCUUUUAAUAAGCAUUUUUGAACUCUCUUUAAGGUACAUUUAUGUAUCAUUUUGAUAAAAGUAUGAAGAAAAACUAACACAAUACUAAAUAUACAAUGUAAUAAGUGUUUCUCUAUGGAUAACUAUUAGUUCCAUUCUCAUAAUUAUAGAAAAUAGAAGUUGAUACUUUUAUUGUUGUUUGCCAUGCUAUAGAUAGAAAUAAUUAAGAGAUAUAACUUUUCCUCAUUUUAGAAUGCUAUAAUAAGGUAUUCAAAUGGCUGCUAUGAUUUUUGUGCCCACCUAUAUUAAAAGUUUCUUGAAAAUAUGUAAAUUUGCUUUGUUAUGGUUAAGAUAUACAAAUAUUAGAACUAAUUAGAUGCUUAAAUACUUGAGGCAUUGGUAUUAAAAUGUGUUCAUUUUAUCUUAUAUGUUUUGAAUCAAUCAUUCUUUAGAAAGAAGAAUGAUAUUUUGUUGUAGUAACAGUUGUAUGGAUUAUUUUGUACUUUUUAAAUUUUGAAAAACUAAAAUUAAUUUUAAAAUCUGGUUGAUAGUUUUAGUUUGAUGGUGCAUUGCAUUGAAAAGAUAAGUCUACAUGAAAGUCAUGCCCAUAACUCCCAGACUUACUAAAAUGUUACAAAGACAGUACAGAAUUUGUAUAUACCCUUCACUCUUUUUCCCUAAAGCAUUUCCCAUACUAAGAAAUUAAUGUUAAUAUGAUGUUAUUAACUAAAGAAUAGUCUGUCUGGAAUUGACUACUAAUGUACUUUUACUUUUCAAGAGUUUAAACCAGGAUACCACAUUCCAUUUAGUGUCCUCUGAUAUGCAACAGGCUCUCAAUCUUGAUACAUUUUUAUAACCUUGAGAAUUUUUAAAUUUACCUAACAAUUUUUUCAGAAGGUCCUUCAUGUGUGUCUGAUGUUUUCACUGGACUAUACUGAGUUCAUAUUUUCCAUUGGUUUGGGGGAAUGUCACAAAGGUGAAAUGUACUUUUUAUAAUUCAUAUGAAAGAAGUUCAUGAUACCAAAAAGACUCAUCACUAGUGAUAUCUUCUGGAUUUCUCCACUGUAAAGUUAGUAUUUUCCCCUUUUCAUACUCUGUACUAUGGAAAUUAUGGAAGUGAGUGAUC
rnacentral:lncRNA from 1 species